UCAGCCCAGAGCCCCGCUAACCGCUAACCCAGAUCCCCGCUAAACGCUAACCGGCACAGAUCCCCACUAACCAGCCCAGAUCCCCUCUAACCGCUAACCAGCCCAGAUCCCCGCUAGAAAAACUAGAGCAGAAAUGUUUGGGAAGA